UUUCAUUUCUCCUUUAGCAACACAAUGACUGUCAAAGAGCUCAUAAGAGAUUGGAACUGCUUUUGCAAUAAGUAAAGUCAAUGAAGAAAGUAAGAGGAUUGCAAAGGUUUCCCCCGCUGAUUCUGCCAACAGAAAUGUUUUUAUUGUGCUGCUUUGGACUGUCAUUCAUCAAGCAACCAGAGAGAAAAGAAGGCUCUUUACUGUCAGCUAAGCCUGAAAAAUACUUGGAAAGUACUUUGCUUCCCUGGGCUUG
rnacentral:lncRNA from 1 species